rnacentral:rRNA from 1 species
CCGUAGGUGAACCUGCGGAAGGAUCAUUACUGAGUGCGGGCUGCCUCCGGGCGCCCAACCUCCCACCCGUGAAUACCUAACACUGUUGCUUCGGCGGGGAACCCCCUCGGGGGCGAGCCGCCGGGGACUACUGAACUUCAUGCCUGAGAGUGAUGCAGUCUGAGUCUGAAUAUAAAAUCAGUCAAAACUUUCAACAAUGGAUCUCUUGGUUCCGGCAUCGAUGAAGAACGCAGCGAACUGCGAUAAGUAAUGUGAAUUGCAGAAUUCAGUGAAUCAUCGAGUCUUUGAACGCACAUUGCGCCCCCUGGCAUUCCGGGGGGCAUGCCUGUCCGAGCGUCAUUGCUGCCCAUCAAGCCCGGCUUGUGUGUUGGGUCGUCGUCCCCCCCGGGGGACGGGCCCGAAAGGCAGCGGCGGCACCGUGUCCGGUCCUCGAGCGUAUGGGGCUUUGUCACCCGCUCGACUAGGGCCGGCCGGGCGCCAGCCGACGUCUCCAACCAUUUUUCUUCAGGUUGACCUCGGAUCAGGUAGGGAUACCCGCUGAACUUAAGCAUAUCAAUAAGCGGAGGAAAAGAAACCAACCGGGAUUGCCUCAGUAACUG